CUGAUUUUAAUUUUUUUUUCUAUUAUCAGCAGAAACACUGUUUUUUUAAUUAAAAAAUAAUUUUCUGAGCAUAAUUUUGUGACUAUUUCAAGCUUGUUAUGGGGAGUUAAACAGCAACUGGUCUUAGUGAAUAUAGAAAGCACAAAUGUCAUUAGGUGGUUCUGGUCAUGGCUGUGUAUAUUUUGUGUAGAAUACACAGUGAUCUGUGAGACUGGCUGAAAAUCAGAUUUGGGGGAGUAGGGAGGAUUUCAUACCCACUUAUCUGUAAUAUCAAUAAAAUAUGCUAUUUUUAAUAAGAUUUCCUCCAUGUCCCUAGACCGCAAUCUAGUUUCCUGCAUUUCAGACUGGAUUCAAUUUCAGAGUAGAUUUAAUUUUCAUUAUCAAUCCUGAAAACAGGUUUUGUAAUGGCAACGGUUGCAAAUGCUCCAGUGUGGCAAAUCUUGAAGUGCACACUUUUCCUGGGCUCUGAGCGCUGAAGGGAAGGCAGAAGAAGAGCCUGUGCUGGUUGAAGCAAGAAAAGCUGCUCUUGUGGCUGGAGGGCAAAGCACUCCCUUGGGAAGUUGAGCGCCCGGUUCUACUCCCAUGGAGCUUUUGUUCCUGGAUGUAAUUUACAGCCUGUGUCCUGCAGAGAGUUAGGAAGAUGAACAAUGGCUCCUAGUUGUUUACUCCUGAAAAAAGCAGCAACCCAGAUUGGCACCUACAGUGUGGAUUCAUCAGCCUGUUUUACUGGUUUGCCCCAGAUCCCUAAACAACUCACUAAUCCAAGGCAGGCAGAAGCCUCCAGAGCCUGAGCUGCCUUUAAGGAAUUCUGUCGGACCAUGUGGCCCCACCAUCGUUCCUGUUCCCAGCGCCACCGCAGCAGCGCACGCGCGGGGGAACACAGGGGAAACCGAGGGGAGAAGGGCACACUCUGGUUCCCUGCAGGUGAUUUCUGUCUGUCUCUGCCCCUCCUUCUCCUGGCUGGCCUUCCCAGCACACACCGUGCAAGAAGUGCCUGGAAC
rnacentral:lncRNA from 1 species